AACGAACGCUGGCGGCAUGCCUAACACAUGCAAGUCGAACGAGACCUUCGGGUCUAGUGGCGCACGGGUGCGUAACGCGUGGGAACCUGCCCUUAGGUUCGGAAUAACUCCCCGAAAGGGGUGCUAAUACCGGAUAAUGUCUUCGGACCAAAGAUUUAUCGCCUUUGGAUGGGCCCGCGUUGGAUUAGCUAGUUGGUAGGGUAAAAGCCUACCAAGGCGACGAUCCAUAGCUGGUCUGAGAGGAUGAUCAGCCACACUGGGACUGAGACACGGCCCAGACUCCUACGGGAGGCAGCAGUGGGGAAUAUUGGACAAUGGGCGAAAGCCUGAUCCAGCAAUGCCGCGUGAGUGACGAAGGCCUUAGGGUUGUAAAGCUCUUUUAACCGGGAUGAUAAUGACAGUACCGGGAGAAUAAGCUCCGGCUAACUCCGUG
rnacentral:rRNA from 1 species